rnacentral:rRNA from 1 species
ACGCUGGCGGCAGGCCUAACACAUGCAAGUCGAGCGGUAGAGAGAAGCUUGCUUCUCUUGAGAGCGGCGGACGGGUGAGUAAUGCCUAGGAAUCUGCCUGGUAGUGGGGGAUAACGUUCGGAAACGGACGCUAAUACCGCAUACGUCCUACGGGAGAAAGCAGGGGACCUUCGGGCCUUGCGCUAUCAGAUGAGCCUAGGUCGGAUUAGCUAGUUGGUGGGGUAAUGGCUCACCAAGGCGACGAUCCGUAACUGGUCUGAGAGGAUGAUCAGUCACACUGGAACUGAGACACGGUCCAGACUCCUACGGGAGGCAGCAGUGGGGAAUAUUGGACAAUGGGCGAAAGCCUGAUCCAGCCAUGCCGCGUGUGUGAAGAAGGUCUUCGGAUUGUAAAGCACUUUAAGUUGGGAGGAAGGGCAGUUGCCUAAUACGUAACUGUUUUGACGUUACCGACAGAAUAAGCACCGGCUAACUCUGUGCCAGCAGCCGCGGUAAUACAGAGGGUGCAAGCGUUAAUCGGAAUUACUGGGCGUAAAGCGCGCGUAGAUGGUUUGUUAAGUUGGAUGUGAAAUCCCCGGGCUCAACCUGGGAACUGCAUUCAAAACUGACUGACUAGAGUAUGGUAGAGGGUGGUGGAAUUUCCUGUGUAGCGGUGAAAUGCGUAGAUAUAGGAAGGAACACCAGUGGCGAAGGCGACCACCUGGACUGAUACUGACACUGAGGUGCGAAAGCGUGGGGAGCAAACC